GAUGAACGCUGGCGGCGUGCUUAACACAUGCAAGUCGAACGAUGAAGCUCAGCUUGCUGGGUGGUUUAGUGGCGAACGGGUGAGUAACACGUGAGUAACUUGCCCUUAACUCUGGGAUAAGCCUGGGAAACUAGGUCUAAUACCGGAUAGGAGCGCCUACCGCACGGUGGGUGUUGGAAAGAUUUAUCGGUUUUGGAUGGACUCGCGGCCUAUCAGCUUGUCGGUGAGGUAAUGGCUCACCAAGGCGACGACGGGUAGCCGGCCUGUGAGGGUGACCGGCCACACUGGGACUGAGACACGGCCCAGACUCCUACGGGAGGCAGCAGUGGGGAAUAUUGCACAAUGGGCGAAAGCCUGAUGCAGCGACGCCGCGUGAGGGAUGACGGCCUUCGGGUUGUAAACCUCUUUCAGUAGGGAAGAAGCGAAAGUGACGGUACCUGCAGAAGAAGCACCGGCUAACUACGUG
rnacentral:rRNA from 1 species